AAUGAACGUUGGCGGCAUGGAUUAGGCAUGCAAGUCGAGCGAGAAGAGUUUUGAAGCUUGCUUUAGAACUCGGACAGCGGCGAAAGGGAGAGUAACGCGUAGUUAUGUGCCCUAGGGUCCGGAAUAGCCACGGGAAACUGUGGGUAAUGCCGAAUAAUAUCCCCGGAUCUAAGGUGUGAUUCCGCCCUAGGAGCAGACUGCGUCCUACUAGCUAGUUGGUGGGGUAAUGGCCUACCAAGGCAACGAUGGGUAGCGGGUGUGAGAGCAUGACCCGUCGCACUGGGACUGAGACACUGCCCAGACACCUACUGGUGGCGGCAGUCGAGAAUCGUCGGCAAUGGGCGAAAGCCUGAACGGGCGAUGCCGCGUGCGGGAUGAAGGCCCUCGGGUUGUAAACCGCUGUCGUAGGGGAGGAAGGUUCCGUGAAGGGCGGAAUUUGACCUAUCCUAGGAGGAAGUACGGGCUAAGUUCGUGCCAGCAGCCGCCGUAA
rnacentral:rRNA from 1 species